UUCCUUGUGGCCCAAUGGUCACGGCGUCUGGCUACGAACCAGAAGAUUCCAGGUUCAAGUCCUGGCGGGGAAG
rfam:Saccharomyces arboricola H-6 chromosome XII, whole genome shotgun sequence.